ACCAAAAUAGCAAGUAGGUCAAAUGAAACGGGACAGAGGAAGUAACUAACACCAGACACAUAAAACCACCUUGUUAAAACUACUUGUAGACAAUAAUUUGCGUCAAAAAAAUAAAAUAAAGACCGAAAAAUAUCGCAACAAUAAUAGUAUUUGAUUUCAAGUAAUUUGAGUGUACUAUCUCUAUGAAUCCUCUGAUUCUUCUUUCCAAAAGUAAAUAAAUUCAAGAGCCCUUGAGCUUGAUCUUGAAUAUCUUGUUGCCACGAGCGAUGAUCUUGAAUUCAACUAGCACGAACUUUGAUUUGAACUCGUACUCCUUAAAUCUUGAUCUGUUCUUCGUUCUUGAGCUUGAGCUUGAUUGCUUGAACUUGAACUUGAUUUGUUCUUUUGUCACGACCCAUUUUCUGAACAAGCCGUGACCGGCACCCAAUCACUAAACAUGACCGAGCGAACCAUUUGUGCUUAUCAAAUCUAUUAUAACUUCAAACUUUAUAUGCAACAAGGCAAUACUUUAAACAAAUACUUUUGAUUAAUUUAAAUAUUUAAAAUAAAUCAACUCCAAAACUUUAUUCGUAGUAACUACUGAAAUACUGCUAAGUUAUUAUCAAAAACAUCUGAAUCUUAACCCACCGACUGUGUCUAUGAAGCCUCUACUGAUAAACCGACGCACUACUCAGGACAUGAGAUUUCCUGGCCAGUUCUCUAAGUGAACAAAGAAAUAGCUAAAUAAAGAUGACUCUAAGGAGUACUCCACGAACAAAAGCGGAGCUCACCAAUAGCACUGGAAGUGAGGGAAGUCCUAACCCAUAGCCUGCUUGCCUGCAAAAUCAGUUCCUACGUUGUAGCAUAGACCAACGUAGGUUCCCAAAAGAGAACGUCAGUACUAUCCAUUGUACUCCGUGAGUCUCAACGACAGGGGAUGAAACUUUAAUAACCUAUAUAUUACAAGCAAAGAUUCUAAAUGCAUGUAAAACAUAAAGCUUAUAAGAACAAUUCUAAAAUAAUUGCAUAAUAGCAGUUUAUGAAUAUUCUAAAAGA
rnacentral:lncRNA from 1 species